UACGUAGGGUGCAAGCGUUAAUCGGAAUUACUGGGCGUAAAGCGUGCGCAGGCGGUUUUGUAAGUCUGUCGUGAAAUCCCCGGGCUCAACCUGGGAAUUGCGAUGGAGACUGCAAGGCUAGAAUCUGGCAGAGGGGGGUAGAAUUCCACGUGUAGCAGUGAAAUGCGUAGAGAUGUUGAGGAACACCGAUGGCGAAGGCAGCCCCCUGGGUCAAGAUUGACGCUCAUGCACGAAAGCGUGGGGAGCAAACAGG
rnacentral:rRNA from 1 species